AAACAUGAGACAUCGCAGUGCAACAUCAAACAAGGAGACACGGGCGGACUAUACAGCGAACUAACUAAACCGCGGAGGAAUUUCAGACGAACAAUUUAUGAACUUGAGGAAGCUGUCCGUUGGGCUGGCGCGAAGAAGCAUAUUCAACGUGGAUGAGGCACACGCUUGUGAGUCUGAUACUGGAUGAAGGGCAUUGUUUGUCUGUGAGUCUGAGACUGGAUGAGGGGCAAACAUUUGACUGUGAGUCUGAGACUUGAUGAAGGACAGCUGAGUUCGAUCGGUGUCCGGGUCAUAGGGUGGAAGAUGUAGGAGCGAGGAAACGAUUUCGCUGCGAUUGGAGAU